GACGUAGGUGGCGAACGUUAUCCGGAAUUAUUGGGCGUAAAGGGUGCGUAGGCGGCAUGAUAAGUUAUUGGCGGGAAAUCGAGGCUCAACCUCGUGGAAACUAAUAAUACUGUUUUGCUUGAGUACAGGAGAGGUUAACGGAACUCCAUGUGGAGCGGUAAAAUGUGUAGAUAUAUGAAAGAACAUCAAUAUGGCGAAGGCAAUUAACUAUUCUGCUACUGACAUUGAGGCAUGAAAGCGUGGGGAGCAAAACGG
rnacentral:rRNA from 1 species